AAAGAAGCAGAAUCAGUUAGAGCUUAAUAGGAGGUGGUGGGAAUACCAACUUCUCAAUGCUAGGAAAAGACUGUCUGGUCGGGCCAUGGUGGCUGAGGAAGAGCUGAGACCACAGAAGAGGCUCACCGUACCACUGACAGCCGUGACAGCUCUCCUGCUCGUGGGCUCUCACCUUGCAGGAAGACAUCCAGGUUUCGCACGCGGCCGGCUGCCCAGGAGCUUCCCAUGUGGCAUCUGUAGUCCCUGAGGUCUGCAGGGAGCAAAGUGAGGGAUGAGUGCCUUCAAGCUGCGAUGCAGUUAGGACGCAAGCUCUGCCAGCGUGCAUGGCGUCAGCACCCCCCUCACCUGGAAUGAUCCCUCUGGUGUUUGCAGUGGUUAUCAGAGCCUGGGGAAGAGCCAUGGAACCCUGGUUUGGCCUCAUGAAAGGUAGGAACAUUUUCCCUAUAUUUUUUUGGAAAACGGUUUACUUGCACUAUUAAGGGUACGAUUGCUUUAUUGAGAAUCUGAGGAGGGGUUUCCACGUGUGAACAGUGCAUGCAUUUAUGAGCCAUGCAAAGUAACGUGCUGUGUCCCAGGUCUGAACGUAGUGGGAAAAGGAUGUGCGUUUAAACAACACCCCCUCCUCCCAAGGGCCAGAACUGUGGUUACAAUUCCCUGCCGUUGCAAAGUGUCUGAAAUUUGUGGAACACUAUGUUCAUAUUAUUGCUGUCCACAAUUUGAAGCUUGAACAUGUUUUAGCCAGUUCUUUUUAACAAUCUAAAGUUAUGGGAAACUUAGAAUGCAUUUCUGCUGCUAUAGAAGUCCCAGAAAUUUCACUGAAUGGCCUAAAAGCAGGUUGUGAUUCAGCAUGGCAAGUCAUUAUUGCUGGGUGCUCCUUACCCUGCACUGUAUUACCCCUAAAUCAGUUACUGCAAUUCCUCCCAAAUGGCAUUUCUUGUAAAAAGUCUCCCACCAGUACAUCUCACAGUGGAGAGCGGAAUCGCUGCUGGCUUCAGCGGGAAAGAACAGCUGUGAGAUACAGGAAGUCCAAAGCUUUUAUUUGCUUGUGUACAGUUGACAUAAUUUAAUAUUUUGGGAGGUACUCUGUGCUGCACGUCUGCCAGCGUGCUGCUGGUGUGGGGAUCUGUCUGUGGAAAGGCCAUGUGUGGCUGUCAGAGGUGAAUGAGCUGCUGCUGGGAGGGCGGCCGUGGGCUGUUAUUCCUGCCAAAUGCCAGCAGCACUUUCCAAACCCUUGUGCUUUUUCAUGUUGGUGUAUUUCUUGCUAUUUUCUUGCAUUCUUUUCUCUCUUUGCCCUUGAACCAGAGAGUUGCUACAGGAUUUAAUGACAUGUAGCAAUCACUCCUCCAGCAUGUUUGGAUAGCAUUUAUUAGCUGAGGGAUGACGUGGGCAGGGCAGAGCAGCAUGCAGGUUAUGGCAUGACCGUGCCCGGAAAGCCAAGCACUGCGGUUACCGGCGGUAGGUAAGGCUGCGUGUAGCUGCUGUCAGUGCUGCAGGCACUGCCCGCGCCGCCAUGCUGGGCUCAGCACCGUACGCCGUGGCCACCACCGUCCCUUGGUCUGCUUCGGAAACUCUCCAGCUGUAGAAAGGUUCCUCACGCAGCAGCCGGGUCUCCGGGUGUGCACGCAGCUACCCGGCCCGCACCGACAACGGGACCUCGGAGCGCAGCGAUGAGCGGUGCGGCGCUGACGAGAAUUGCGGCUCCUCCUGCAAGGCAGGGCGGCAGUCAGCGGGCGCUUCUUCACCGCGUGCUGCCGCGGCCGAGGGGCGCGCAGAGGG